UACGUAGGGUGCGAGCGUUGUCCGGAAUUACUGGGCGUAAAGAGCUCGUAGGUGGUUUGUCGCGUUGUUCGUGAAAACCGGGGGCUUAACCCUCGGCGUGCGGGCGAUACGGGCAGACUUGAGUACUGCAGGGGAGACUGGAAUUCCUGGUGUAGCGGUGAAAUGCGCAGAUAUCAGGAGGAACACCGGUGGCGAAGGCGGGACUCUGGGCCGAUACUGACGCUGAGGCAGCGAAAGCGUGGGGAGCGAAACAGG
rnacentral:rRNA from 1 species